rnacentral:lncRNA from 1 species
UCAGUCAGCACUCAAGUCUCGAUAUUGGUUCCACAAUUCUGAGAGGGAAAAUAGACUUUGUUAGGGUCAAAGUUAAGUAAUUGUGCCCAAAUGCUGAAAUCAAUCCUUACUCCAAGGAGUCCUUUACUGCUUCUCUUUAUGUAGAUUCAAAUUACUGUUACUGUUUGGGUUCACUUGCUCUCAGUCUGAAGAAUUUCCUUUAGUAUUUCUUAUAAAGUGGGUCUACUAGCAACAAAUUCAAUUUUUGUUUAUUUUACAAAAUCUAUUUUGCACUGGGGAUCAAACACAAGGCUUCAUACAUGCCACACAAGCAUACUACCAUGGAGUUACUUGCCCAGUCCACCCUGAUUUUAAAAAAUAGCUUGUUACUUGGUUGACAGGUUGUUUUAUUUUUCCCCUUCUGAGCAAUGUGCAUGAUAUCUCACUGCCUUUUGACUUCCAUUAUUUCUCUGAGGUCCCCUUGCAAUUGACUCAUUGCUUUUAUCUUGCUGCAUUCAAGAUUUUCUCUUGUGUUUGACUUACAGCAUUUUUUUUUGAUUGGUUAAAAUUUUUUUUUAUUGGUUGUUCAAAACAUUACAAAGCUCAUGAUAUAUCAUCUUUCAUACAUUUGACUCAAUUGGGUGACUUACAGCAUUUUUAAUAUAAUAGGUCUGUUUAUAGAUCUCUUUAUAUUUAUCCUGUUUGGAGUUUGUUAAGCUUCCUAUAUGUGUAAGUUAUUGUUUUUCAAUAAAUUGUGAGGAAUCAACAGCCAUUAUUCCUUAGGAUAUUUUUUCCUUCUCUUCUGUCUCCUUCUCUUCUGUCUCCUUCUGAUACUCCCAUUACUUGUAUGUUGGUGCACCUAAAACUAUUCCACAUUUCUUCAGAGGUCUGCUCAUUUUUCUUAUUUUUCCUCCCUACUUUUUACACUAUCAAGCCAUAAUUAACUAAAAUUUUAACUUCCUAACCUGCUGCAUUGUUUCUGAGUAGGCAAG